UACGUAGGCAGCGAGCGUUGUUCGGAGUUACUGGGCGUAAAGGGUGUGUAGGCGGUUUUCUAAGUCUGGUGUGAAAUCCCCGGGCUUAACCUGGGAACUGCGUUUGAAACUACAAGGCUAGAGUGUGGCAGAGGGGGGUGGAAUUCCACGUGUAGCAGUGAAAUGCGUAGAGAUGUGGAGGAACACCGAUGGCGAAGGCAGCCCCCUGGGCUAACACUGACGCUCAUGCACGAAAGUGUGGGGAGCAAACAGG
rnacentral:rRNA from 1 species